rnacentral:rRNA from 1 species
UCCUGGCUCAGAAUGAACGUCGGCGACGUGCUUAACACAUGCAAGUCGAGCGAGAAAGCCUCUUCGGAGGUGAGUACAGCGGCGGACGGUUGCGUAACGCGUGAGAAUUUACCCCUUAGUGAAGAAUACCUUCGAGAAAUCGGAGUUAAUACUGCAUAAGUCCCUUCGGGGAGAAAGGCGGCCUAUUUGCUGCCGCUAGGGGAUAAGCUUGCGUCCUAUCAGUUUGUUGGUGAGGUAACGGCUUACCAAGACUAUGACGGGUAGCUGACCUGAGAGGGUGAUCAGCCAGAUUGGAACUGAGAUACGGUCCAGACUCCUACGGGAGGCAGCAGUGAGGAAUAUUGCACAAUGGGGGAAACCCUGAUGCAGCGACGUCGCGUGGGGGAUGAAGGCCUUCGGGUUGUAAACUCCUGUUGAGUGGGAAGAAAAGCGUGCGGUUAAUACCCGUGCGUGUUGACGGUACCACUAGAGAAAGCACCGGCUAACUUCGUGCCAGCAGCCGCGGUAAUACGAAGGGUGCUAACGUUAUUCGGAAUUACUGGGC